AUUGAAGAAAAUAGAAGGAAAAUAGGACCAAUUAUUGAGUGUAUACUUCUAUGUGGUAAAGAAGAGUUGGCUUUGAGAGGACAUAGAGAUUUUGGUGAUAACUUAGUAGAUGAUGAUUCAAGGCAAGGCCAUUUCCGUGGUAUUCUCAAGUACAGAGCAAAAGGAGAUGAAUUUUUGCGUAAUGUUCUUGAGGGUUCAGGGAAACGUAAUAAAUAUACGAGUCCAAUUAUACAAAAUGAAAUAAUUCAGUCAUGUAACACAAUUUUACUAAGGAAACUAGUUAAUGUGAUUAAUAAAUCUAAAUGUUUCUCUGUUCUGGCUGAUGAAACAACCGACAUAUCGACUAAAGAGCAACUCAGUAUAUGUGUUUGAUAUAUUGAUAAAAACAAUAAGUUGCAUGAGAACUUUUUACGAUUUUUUGAAAUUGAUAGCUUGACUGGUUAUGACUUGGCUAACUCAAUAUUAAAUGGCUUAAACAGAUGUGGAAUUGAUUGCAAUUAUUUAUAUGGCCAAGGCUAUGAUGGGGCCAGUAAUAUGGCUGGUCGAUUUAAAGGAGUACAGACUAUUGUGAAAUCUAAAUACCCCAACGCUAUAUAAUAUGUACAUUGUGCAGCACAUUCGCUGAAUUUAGCUGUUUCAACAGCUAGUGGCAUAAAACCUAUCAGAAAUUGUUUGGGGGUGAUCGAAAAAGUUUAUAAUUUUUUCAAUACCCCUAAAAGAAAUUCUGUUCUUUUAAAUACCAUUGAGAAUUCAAAUAAUGCACCC